ACCCUUUUCUCUUCACCAAAGACCUUAUUGUUGAGGCAAGUUCUCUUUGAGCAGCUUCUUCUCCAACAAACAAUUCCCUCUCCUGCGAAGACACAAUUACUUAUAUACAUGUGACCUCCUCCCAUCAUCUUACUUUGCACCAAGAUACCAUCAAAGUUCUGCUUCACCAUCACUGUAAUCACCCCAACAUUUGAUUGUCCUUCCUUCGACAGGCGCUGUGUUAGUACUCUUACCAUUUGGAGAAACGACAUUAGGAGAUUCUACAUCUGCAUCAGCAUCUGGAUAAAUGACAUUAGGGCAACGCCCCAAUCUUCGGCAAUCAGCCAUGGAAGAAGGCGGCGGAGUCCUGUUCACCGAUGGAAGCCAUCUGGAGAUGUUUGAUUGUUCGAUCCCUAGGCAGCAGUAGCAGGCGAGGCUGCCGGUGACAUGCACGGUGGUGGUGCUCAGCACACUGCCCGAAUAGUGGAGCCCUUUUUUCCGAUUUGUUCUUCUCCCUUUCGUUGCGUGUGAGAUCCGAUCGGAGCUCCGUUUUUCUAAGAGAAGGUUUGCAGAUAAAUCCCAACAUAAAUCGAGAAAGGAGAAAGUAGAUAUCCGUCUUCCCCAAAUAAGAUCCCCAGAAUUCCAGAUAGAUGGGGUAGUUUUCUUUCCCUUUAUUUAUUUUUUAUUUUUUAUUUUGCUGGAAAGAACUAUAAAAAUUAUCCACAAACCCAUGAAGAAAAUAAAUUCUGAUGACCCCUUUUCUCUUAGAAUUGAGCGAGCUAGGGUGAGUAGCAGAUUGUCCUAAUGUUUUUUCGAUUAAGAGAGAGAGAGAGAGAAAGAUUUCCCUUUUUUCCAAAAAAUCAAGGAAUUCCCAGCUUUUAGCUUGAAGUUCUUCACCCACAAACCCAGAUAUGAAAUUAUGAAGCCACAAUUAUCUCCCCAAAUAUUUGAGAGAGAUAAUAAAUCCGAUAAACGAAGAGCCCAACUUUGAUUUGAGGAAUUAGCCCUUCUGCUUAGAAAAAACGAAGAGCCCAAAUUUUUUAUUUCGGGGUUUUGCCCUUUUACCCAAAAAUGGCGAUUUCGCUCGAAAACCAAAAAAGAGAAAAUGAUAGUUUUUGAAGAUUGCUUAAAGAUCGAGAGAUUCCCAAUUUUUCUAGAGAGAAAUUGAGUGUGGUUGAUAAGCACAUCCACAUGAGAUUCAUUGAGACCCCGUGCCCCGAUUCUUCAAAAAUCCGAAAAAGACUUACCAGACAAGAAAUAAUAAAAAUUUUGAAAACCGUUCGAAACUUCUUCAGGAACUGGGUACCUAUCCAAGGAACUUUAAUCCCCUGAAUUUUCAUAAAAAUCACCCAAUAAAACCGAUAAAUUCUUGAUGGAAAACAAAGAAACCUCACGUCUUAGCUCGAUUUCUCACAGACGGCGCCAGUUGAUGAGUUCAUGAAUAAUUUCCAUAAUAAAAGCUAGCUAAGAAUAUUUCCCAC
rnacentral:lncRNA from 1 species